GCCUCGGUAGCUCAGUCUGGUAGAGCGAUAGCCUCGUAAGCUGUAGGUCGCGGGAUCAAAGCCCGCCCGAGGCUCCA
rnacentral:tRNA from 1 species